rnacentral:hammerhead_ribozyme from 1 species
GCACUGCUGAAGAGUCCCACAAUACUGGGACGAAACAGCCGUCCAGUGC